rnacentral:lncRNA from 1 species
AAAAUUUUAAAACAAUCUCUCUUCACUCUCUGUUCUCUCUCUAGUAUCUCUCACAGAGAGGAAGAGAAGAGAUGAUAUCCCUUUUGUUUUUUGGUUUAUGAUCAUUAGAUCAGAGUUAUGUUCGGCUUGUCCGAGUAAAUAUUCCGGUUAGCGGAUUUCUUGUUUUCGCUAUGGCGAUUUUGUUGUGUUCUUCGAUCCGCAACAGAGUUGCUUCAAUUCGUCUUUUUUUUUCUCUGUUUUGUUGGAUCGAUUAAUAAAAUUUCGAGUCAGAGUUUCACUUCUCACUUCGUUCUUAAUUCUAUCCCGUAAAUACCAUCUCAGACACUUGCUUCACUGUCACUUUAACUGUUUUUUAGGAGAAUCAAUCUUCACUUUGUCUUUGCCAUCUAUGGUGUAUUGUGAAGCUUCUUCGAUUGAAAGAAAGUUAGGUAAGAUGGAAUUUUUUGGUCAUCUUUGGAGUAGAUUCAGCAGAGCCGGUGUUAUUUGUAACGGUCCGGCAUAGAGUCUUCCUUCAAUUUCGACUGAAGCUUCCUCAAGCUCAAUCUGGUGAAGCAAACUCCCUCUGCUUUGGUAGUUUACGGUUUAAGUGGAAAGUAUCUCAGGAUUUACAAGCAUAGAUCAUUGAACCGGCGGUGGUAGCUUGUUCUGAUGAGAACUUACGGCGGCGCACUAACACUGGAUCCUCAUCUUGGGCGGAGGCGUGUUACGAAAUUGGAGACGUGGCGAGUUUCUGACCUAGGACACUCAUGCAAGAGCGUUUGAUUACGCGUGUCUCUUAUUGCUUCUGCAGUCAACGCACGUUCCUUAAUACGACACUUUCUCGAAGAUAUUGAUCCAAAUCAAUAUAAUGGAUUGGGGAUUUGAGCUUUAAUUUUAAUUCGAGAUUGUAAAUGAUGGGGAUUGGUUUUAUGAUGUAUUGCUUGUAACUUUGUCCAUUGGGCCAAAGAAAUGAAAUCUAAAGUCGACAAAAAAAAAAAACAUAUGAUGUCGUUUGUAGGAAUUUGGACCCAUCAUUAAAGCCCACCAAAAUGAUUGCCGUUAACUAUAAUGUCCUAAUUUUAUUACCUUCGCCAGUUCGCUGGUUUUAUAAAUUUUAAAACGACAUUUUACAACCCAGUAGCAGUUUAUAGUAAAUAUUUAGAAAAAGACAAGGUAAAAUUUGUUUCGUACUUCUGUUUUAAUAGUUUAGAUUAAAUGUAUUUUUUAUAUAACUCAAAUCAAUCAAUAUAUAAUAUCACAUGAUAUCUUUUGGAAGUGGAGUUGAGUUGUUUUCCCAUAUGUGCCUUUAACAUCAGAGAGCUUACGCAAAUCAUCAAACUUGAGGAUUUUUGUGUCACCACAUAUGGUUCCUACAAUCAAAACUUUCUUGAUGGUUCAAUGACAUAAAUUUCAUAAGACCAAAAUCCAUAAUAAGAUGCUAUGAAACCGAAGUCUAACUACCUCUUGAUCGCUUUCAUCCUCUUUCUUAGAUGUUCCAGUUCCACAAAGCCAUUCAACAGAUUUUUUUUAUUUAUAUCCCUCCCUUACUUAAAAACUGUCGUUUUUGAUUCUUGAUGAUAUUUUCUCUGAUCGAUGGGAUUGUCUUAGAGAAAAAGGAUCUUUAAUGAUGUUUAGGCCAUAAGUUUUAUGCCAUGACUGCAACAUUUUCUUCGGAAGAACUAUUUCAGAUAUAUUCCAAUAGAUUAACGGAAAAGAGAGCGAGGUGAAGAGGGCAGAAGAAAAAGGGUUGUGAUGUAUAAUUAGGGUAUUGUUAGUUUUAAAUGUUUAGUUUUUUUUUUUUUUUUUUUUUUUUUUUUUUUUUAAAAAAGAAAUAAACAUACCUCAAUAAUUAGAUCAAAUCUUGUACUCGUGUACACGCAACCACUUUGUGGAUGACCACUUGUUCCCUUUGAUUACAGCACAUCCACCUGCACAAAGUGGAUCAAAUAACUAAUAUCAUAAAAUCCACUGUAGGACAAACACAGCUCCCAAUCCAUCUAAAACUUAUCUAUAUCUACUGACCGUGAAGACUAGAUGGGUCUAGAGUGGCGUCAGGUGUCAUGCUCCAGAAAAGCAAUGCAUCUCCCAUCUUUGGUUUCACGGACAGCCCUCCUUUCCCGCACUCUGACAGCUCAUUCCACCACGGCACUGCGCUAUAGUUUCCCUUGGCUGAGGGAAACACUGUCUCACCCCCCUCCUCUACAUCUGACCUGCACAGUAGCUAAACAGCGUUAAAAAAAAAAGAAAAAAGAAAAAGAACACAACAGCAACAUCUUGUUGGAGUCCAAAGUCUAUUCAGUUACAUACAGGUACAUGAGAACAGUGGCAAUCCGCUGCCCUCCGUUCCUAGUGUUAUACUCAUCCAUAAAGUAGUCAUAGUGAGGCUCGUACUUUUGCCCUAUUUCAUAGUGCAGAACUUGAAGACCUUCCCCAUGCUCUGCACAUUGUAAGAACCAGUCAAGCAUAUGCUCCACAAAGAGCUGACCCUAAGGAGAAAUGGGAUUUUAAGAAAAGGUAAAAAUAAUAAAGUCUUUCAAGCACAUACCAACUGGUAUGAAGGUAAAAUCUGAUAUCCUUUUCUCGAUUUGACGGAUGAUUUUGUCGCGUCCUCUUGGAAGAAAAGUCCCAGAGCUCGUUCUCACCCUAUUGAGGAGAAGUGGAUGUCAGUAAAAGAGAGGAGGAAAGAAGCCUACUGAUGAUUCACUUGAUAGUUGAAGGAAGACCUGCUAUCUGUGCUCUUUCCAGUCUUCUGAUCGACAACAGUUGACUUCUCCAUAUGCGGUUUAGCUAGCUCUAUUAGAUACUUGCAUUCCUCCUUCGUCUAUCGUGAAUAAUAAUUAACACACGUCCCUAGUCAGUUAGCACACACUAACAACAACUAAUGAAAAUCACUUCCCUAGUUUUACUUUUUCUUUCAAAUCACAGCUAGUGAUCAUAAUAUCACCUACUCUACGGAAUCAAUUGUUGAUAUCUACUGAAAAAAAACAGAUUCGCUCACCAAGAAAUUGUGGUAAAUAGAAGCUCUGGGUUCCCAAGAUAUAAUUUCAACCCAACGCUCAUUCUCCGAAGCAUCUUUGCCGCUUCUGCGGAAUAAAAAGAAUACCAAAGAUGAUGAUAAAUAAACACGCCAGAUCUUAUAUUUGAAUCGGGAUUUUUUUUGGUACCUCUGAAGGUUUUUACGGACAAUGGAAGUGAGAUCAUUGGCCUUGGAUGACCCGCCAUUGUUGCUGGGCAGCGAGAGAAUUCCAAGCGCGAGAAGGAACAAAAUCACGAAAGUGAACAUAAUCAACACCGCGAAGACGAGGGUUGAGUACGACGUUUUCCGACGGUGAUGAUUCCUCUGUCGCGCCAUCAUUUUUGCAAAGGAUCGAUUUCUCAGAUCCGAAAGAAGCAGAGAGGAGCAGCAGUAAGCAAAUCCUCUGCGUAGGAGAGAUUAAACAAACAAACCGGAUGACGGAAGAGGCUUUACAUAGACGGGCCUCAGGCCCAUUUAAUUAGGCCCAAUAAGGGAAGGUGCUUUUCGAAUGAAUGGCAAAAAUAAUCGUCUUCAUCCCCAGAGAGAGAAUCCGAUAAGGCGAGAGAGAGAGAGAGAGAGAAUGCAGCUCGCCACCACCAUUUCUCUACUCCUGCCAUCUCCAUCUCGACUCUCUCCUUCUCUUCAGUCGCUGACUAUCCCCAGGAGAUCAAGCUCUGUCUCAUACUCUUCACAAACGUCGAUUCUCCCGGAUGCCGCCGAUGACUUCACCGUGGGAGACUGUCUCGUCUACGAGGACGGCGUCUUCGAAGACCCUUACCUCGAGGAGGAGGUCAGUCUCGAAGCGGUCAAAGAGCGGAAGAGUCCGAGGCGGCGGGGCAGGGGAAAGAGAAUAGUUCAAGCGGCGGCGGCGGCGGAGAUCGAGCCGGAGAACCUCGUGCCGGAUGAGUGGAGGGAUGUUCAGGCGGAGGUGAACCUGACGAAGAAGGACAAGAGGAAAAUAGCGCAGGAGCUGGAGUUCGGAGUGAGUGUGGAGAAGAAGAGGCAAGGGCUGAUUCCGCUGAGGAAGGUGGAUUUGAAGGAGUAUUUAACGUACAAGGAAGCCAAGCUGGAUCAGUUGAAACCUGUUGUUCUCGAUAAACCGACGACGUUUGAUGGAGAGGGAGGAGAGAGGGGUGAAGAAACGUAUUCGAGUGAGCGAGUAGCACCGAAGAACCCUAGAUGGGCGGUUUAUGGAAAAGGAUUCGAACAAGUCACCAAGUUCUUCAAUAGCGAUAAGUAUGAUCCCAGUGGCAAGAAGCUCGACGGCCCUCGGAAGCUGCUUUCUAAAGAAGAGAAGUUUAUGCUCAAUAGCCGAAAUCCUCACCUAGCUGUUGCCACCUCAGUAAGUGAUUUUUUCUUUUUUUUUUACUAUUUGAUUUUUGAGUUCUGUUUUAAGUUUGAACCAGCAGUAACCUAAUGUUGGUUGUGUUUUUCAGAAAAAGUGGCUUCCUCUUCACACACUGGCAGCUUCGGGAGAAUUUUAUCUGGUUGACUCCUUGCUUAAGCACAAUCUUGAUAUCAAUGCAACGGACGUGGUAUGUGGAUUUUUAUCUGAAUCUUUUGCUCUUUUUGUAUAUAAUCUAGUAGUGUUUUUUUUAAUAUAAUUUGUAUAUGGAAUCUAGGGCGGCUUGACAGCACUUCACCGAGCAAUAAUAGGUAAAAAACAGGCGAUUACAAACUACCUGCUGAGGGAAUCGGCAAACCCGUUUGUUCUUGAUGAUGUAAGUGGUCGGUCACCUUGUAAUAAUCUCUCUCCCUUGCUUCAGAUGCUGCUGCGAUCUGAUUAGUUCGUUUAUGUGUUAGGAAGGUGCGACUUUGAUGCACUAUGCUGUGCAGACAGCAUCAGCUCCCACAAUAAAACUUCUCCUGCUGUAUAACGCUGACAUAAACGCGCAAGACAGGGUAAUGAUGUUAAAACAUUCUUAUAUUAGCGAAUCUGUCAGCUGGUUGGUUAACACAUUGUUUUUUCUUUUAAAUUUCAGGACGGGUGGACGCCCCUGCACGUUGCAGUACAGGCCAGAAGAAGCGACAUCGUGAAACUUCUUUUGAUAAAAGGGGCUGACAUACAAGUGAAGAACAAGGCUAGUUCCAUCACCUUCCCACUAGUCCGCUUUUGUAUUAUUAUCGUUAUUAUGAUUCUGAUGAUGCCGUUUUUUUUUGACUAAUUCCAACAGGAUGGGUUAACUCCGCUGGGCCUUUGCCUCUACCUUGGAAGAGAGACAAGGACGUAUGAAGUGUUGAAAAUGUUGAAAGAGUUUCCCCGUAGUAGACUCAAGAGAUUGGUAACGGAUUAAGCUUUACUGGACCACGCUCUCACAUUUUGGUCGGUGUUUUUCUUUUGCGUUUGUUUUCGCACCGGAAAUUAACAAAGCCGAAAUCAUAUUUACCCAAAAGAAUAUUACUACCUGUAUAAUAUGUAUAAUAUUAAUACUAGAUUUUGAUCCAGGCUUUCAAAACGCAUAAUUUUUUGUUGUUGAAUUAACCCAUCUGGUUUUUCUCUAAUAUGUUUAUACAUAGAUGUUUGAUGUUCAGUUCAGUUCAAUCUCGAUUUUGGUUUAGUUCUAGUUUGGUUGUGGUUAUCUGUUUCUCUAGUUCAAGAGAUAUAAAAACUGUUUAGUUAUUUUUGAAUGUGGGUUUGAUUUCAAUUUGGUUAUUUUGGCUUUCAGUUUGGUUUGAACAACAAUGUUAGAAACCCAAUAAAUUUUUUAGUUCAGUUCUUAUGAAAAAUGCAGGUAAAAAAAACUCUUUUUUAAAAAAGUUUUUUUUAUAAAAUAUCAGAUAAUUUGGAUAAAUUUAAAUAUUUUGAAAUAUAACAUUUGGGUGAUUUGUGUUAAUAGAGAAUUUAGGCUAAUUUUGAAUAUUCUUGAAUACCAAAUAAAAAUCAUUUAAAUCUCUAACAAAUCAAUUGUUAUAUUAGGUGAAAAUUACUAAUGAAAUAAUCUAAAUCUAGAUUUUGACCAGCACGUCCGUGCAGAUAUUUUAUUCAGUUAUAGAUGUUUAAAUAAGGGUGGAACAUAUCAGAUUUGGAUUCGACGGAUCCGUAGAUUAGUAUCUAGAUUAUUCGGAAAAAUAAUUAAAAAAAUUAAAAUACUAAUUUUUUUUAAAAAAUACAUACAUUAAAUAUUUAUACAACAUUAUCAAUAUAUAUUUAUAAGUAUAUAAUAUUAGAAAUUGAAAUAUAAUUUUAUAAAAAUAAUUUUAUGUAUAAAUAAAAUAUAUCAAAUAUAAUGAUUAGUAAAAUUUCAAAAUUAAUAUAUUUUAAAAUACGGAUCUUGAUCCGUAUAUCCAGAUCUAAAAAUCAAGAUACUCAUAUUCAGAUUCAGUUUUGGCGGAUCCAAGAUUUUACUAUUCGAAUCUGAAUUCAGACACCUCUGGUAUCAUAUUUUCAGAGUGGAUCUAAGAUCGAAUCCGACCUUAGAUAAUAAGUCUCAUGCCUAGUUUAAAACAUUUUAGAAAGGCCUAUUUUUAGGUUUUUAACAUUUUAGAAUGACCUCAACUUGUUUUUUCAUAUUUAGCUACUAAAUUUAUCUUUUAAUGAGAUUUUAAUAUCCAUAUCCGGAUUCAGAUGUUCCAGAUAUCCUAUUUUCAAAACGGAUCUCAGAUCGAGUCCAAAUUCUGAAUAAUAAGUCUCCUGUAUUGUUUUAAACAUUUUAGAAUGAUUCUAUUUUUAUGUUUUUAACAUUUUAGAACGACCUCAACUAGUUUGUUCAUGUUUAGCUACUGAAUUUAUUUUUUAAUGAAAUUGUUUUUUUCUACGACUGUGUGUUAAGUAAUCAUUUUAUUUUGUCAAAUAUUCUCUAUGUUUCAUAAUAAGUGUCAUUAUAACAUUUUUUAUUGUUAUGCAAAAAGUGUCACUUUAGAAUUUCAAUGUAAAUAAAUAUAUUUACUUUCAGCUGAAAAUUAAUUGCAAACUGCAUUGAUUUUAUAAAUAAUUUUAUUUAACUCAAAUAUUAUUGGUCAAAUGUGUGUAAUUAAUAACAAUUUUAAUACAUUUCAAUCAAUUUUUUAAUCUGUGUGAAAAAUGUCAAAGUGACACUUAUUAAAAAACGAAGGGAAUAUAACAAUAAAAUGCAGCAUAUUUGAGUUUUAAAUUACCUUUUAUUAUAUUAAAUCUAGAUAUGGUUAUUUAAAUUUGAAAUUUAUAUAUAAAGAUCAAAUUUUAUUUUUAUUAUAUUCGAAAUUAUUUUAUUAAAAAUUUUAUAUAUGAUUUAAAACAAUAUUAUUUGUUGGUAUAUGUUUUGAUAGAUUAUAUUUAUGUAUACAUUUGUUGCCAAUUUAGAUAGUUUGUGUGUGUAUGAAUGUGAUAAAAUUGUAAUAAUACAUAAAUAAAUUUUAGAAUUGUUUUGAUAAUUAGUCACCCCAACAAAAGAGAUAUUGUCGUAUAUGAUAAUAUACAUAUGAUGUCGGUUAAAAUUUUAAAACAAUCUCUCUUCACUCUCUGUUCUCUCUCUAGUAUCUCUCACAGAGAGGAAGAGAAGAGAUGAUAUCCCUUUUGUUUUUUGGUUUAUGAUCAUUAGAUCAGAGUUAUGUUCGGCUUGUCCGAGUAAAUAUUCCGGUUAGCGGAUUUCUUGUUUUCGCUAUGGCGAUUUUGUUGUGUUCUUCGAUCCGCAACAGAGUUGCUUCAAUUCGUCUUUUUUUUUCUCUGUUUUGUUGGAUCGAUUAAUAAAAUUUCGAGUCAGAGUUUCACUUCUCACUUCGUUCUUAAUUCUAUCCCGUAAAUACCAUCUCAGACACUUGCUUCACUGUCACUUUAACUGUUUUUUAGGAGAAUCAAUCUUCACUUUGUCUUUGCCAUCUAUGGUGUAUUGUGAAGCUUCUUCGAUUGAAAGAAAGUUAGGUAAGAUGGAAUUUUUUGGUCAUCUUUGGAGUAGAUUCAGCAGAGCCGGUGUUAUUUGUAACGGUCCGGCAUAGAGUCUUCCUUCAAUUUCGACUGAAGCUUCCUCAAGCUCAAUCUGGUGAAGCAAACUCCCUCUGCUUUGGUAGUUUACGGUUUAAGUGGAAAGUAUCUCAGGAUUUACAAGCAUAGAUCAUUGAACCGGCGGUGGUAGCUUGUUCUGAUGAGAACUUACGGCGGCGCACUAACACUGGAUCCUCAUCUUGGGCGGAGGCGUGUUACGAAAUUGGAGACGUGGCGAGUUUCUGACCUAGGACACUCAUGCAAGAGCGUUUGAUUACGCGUGUCUCUUAUUGCUUCUGCAGUCAACGCACGUUCCUUAAUACGACACUUUCUCGAAGAUAUUGAUCCAAAUCAAUAUAAUGGAUUGGGGAUUUGAGCUUUAAUUUUAAUUCGAGAUUGUAAAUGAUGGGGAUUGGUUUUAUGAUGUAUUGCUUGUAACUUUGUCCAUUGGGCCAAAGAAAUGAAAUCUAAAGUCGACAAAAAAAAAAAACAUAUGAUGUCGUUUGUAGGAAUUUGGAC